rnacentral:lncRNA from 1 species
GUGGCCAGGGAGCCGCAGGCAAGGGACUAAGGGGAGGGGGGCUCAGUGCCAGCUGCUUAAAAAUGCCCCUGUGGCAGCGAGGGGCACCAGAGGCUGGGUCUAAUUAGUUGAGAAGCAGUGACACCCCCAACCACUCCCCAAACAGGCUGGCUCCCGUCUCCAGGCCCCAAGGAGCCACACCUGGACCAGACCCCAGGAAAGACAUGUGGUGGAAACCCUACGGCCCUGGAGCCCAAGGAGAGCAACGGCUGUAACAAGUGCACAGGCAAGGGCGCUAGCUGGUGGGAGCCACCCCGCCAUGCUGAUGUCAGAGAAGCAAGAACUCUGGAGAAGCAGCCUCCUGGGACCAGAGGAGGGCCAGCAGCAGGCAGCCCGGAGACAGAACUCUCACCCACGCCUCUCCAAGCCUCCCAACAGAAGACAGAGGUCCCCCACAGCCAGAGACAUUUCCUGAAGACAUGGGGAACACAGAGGCAGAAACAGCCCAUCCACCCAGGAGCUGUCCCCCACACUGCCGGGAGCCGGCACCCAGAGCCGCCAGGUAAAACUGAGGCCACCUGGUUCAACAUCACCUUUCACAGAAGGGGAAGCAGCCACAGAAAGAAGGGCCUCGUUAAGAAGUGGAACCUGGGACCCCCAAGCGGUGUCUCUCAUCCUGACUGGGGAUCCAGAGUAGGAGGGAGCCUUUGGUGGGGUAAGUGGAAUGGGGCGGGGUGGGGGGUGGCCAUAGACCCCUCUUCUCAGUAAGGCCCUCAUGUGAAGGAGGCAGGGGUUGGGACAAGUGCUAAGUAUGCAAGACUCAAGGGAAGAGCUGCUGGAGCCAGGAGAAGCACCUCCCUCCCGGCCCCUCUGCCCCUCCUCAUAGCCCAGCUGCACUGACUCCUCCUCCAGGAAGCCUUCUCAGCUUCCCCAGGGGUGGGAACCUUUUUGUCCUCCAGGUGUGCUUGGCUGUCCUUUCUUGGGCUCUCUCUCUCUCUCUCUCCUCAUCCCACUUGAGUCUGCCCCCUAUUCACCUUGUGAGGGGAAUUUUCCUUCUACUCAAUCUGACCGAGGUCCUCCAGGUCAAGGACAGCGAGGCUCUCAGUCCCACUUCCCCUUGGCACAUAGAAGAGGCAGUGCGCUGAAGGGACAGGUGAAAUGAUUAGACCCUGCCCCCAAACCAAGGCCUGGCCAAUUGGACAGGGCAUGAGACAUUCAGCGUAGAGGUUAAAACGAGGGCCCUGGGUUAGGAACCCCAGCUCAGUUCUCAGCUCUGUACCCUUGGAAAAUUCCCUUCCCAUGGAGCUUUGUGGAUGCACAAGGACUUGCACAAAGAAAACAUUCAAUAUCCAGGACUAUAAAAUUCCACAAAUGAU